rnacentral:rRNA from 1 species
UACGAAGGGGGCUAGCGUUGCUCGGAAUCACUGGGCGUAAAGGGUGCGUAGGCGGGUCUUUUAAGUCAGGGGUGAAAUCCUGGAGCUCAACUCCAGAACUGCCUUUGAUACUGAAGAUCUUGAGUUCGGGAGAGGUGAGUGGAACUGCGAGUGUAGAGGCGAAAUUCGUAGAUAUUCGCAAGAACACCAGUGGCGAAGGCGGACUCACUGGCCCGAUACUGACGCUGAGGUGCGAAAGCGUGGG